UCGCCCUGGCGCGCGAGGUGGCGUCGGCGGCGUGACGGGCCGCGAUGCCGCCGGAAGCCGGGUCGGUUCGUGUCCGAUCGGGUGGC
rnacentral:tRNA from 1 species